UUACGCACUCAACCCCCCCUGCGGCUCCCGCUGACCCUCCAGCCAGCAGAGCCCCAAAUACAAAGCUAAUUAUUAAAAUAAUCCUCCUCUGUCCCAGCUUUGGUACGAGUUGGCCGGCAGAGGAACAGGAGCGGACGAGCGAGGGGAGGGAGGUGAAGCCCGCUGCGAUGGAGCAGGCUUUCUUCAAGUUUGCCUGUUUGCCGAGGGGACUUUGCAGCAAAGACGGUGCAGGGCAUUUGUCCGUGCCGGCGAGCGCAGUGUCCUGCUCCUGACGAAGACUGCAGCUUUAAACACGCAAUUUAAUCCUAUAAACAGCACCCAAACUGCACUCUGCAAGGGCAUCUCUCCAUCAGCUCCAGUCACGCUCGCAUCCCCCCGUGUCGGUCGCCAGACUGGCCUGCGCCAAUGGCUAUGGUCCCCGCCGGAGCCAGGCCUGCUGUUCCCCCUAUUCCAGCUCGUUUAGCUAUUCUGCCUAAUUAAAAUACAGGGUAGGCAGCAGCCGAUGCCUCUAGCAGUGCCGGGAGAGCCGUGCCCGGCAUCGGCUCCCGGACAAGCCCCCGGCCGUGCGCGUCAUGCUUGGAGCGAAGGCCGGAGGGAUGCAGGAGCGAGAAAGCAGCAGGGAAGGAGAGGGACCGUGGUCUGGAGACAGCACCGGGAAGUGUCAAGGUGUAGGAAGACGAUCCUGUUUUUUCCAUAACCUCCCAACCUUCAUUAAUAACGCUGCCGUGGAGCGUAUGUUCUGCGCUAAUUAAAACGAAUGGUACACGACAAAGCUGGGAAAGGAGGUGCCGUAAUUUCAUUAUUUUUCCACCUUCCUCUGCUUCGCCCUUGAGGAGCGGUGGCAGCGAGCGGGGCCCAGGCGUCCUGCUCAGGGCAGGGGAACCCGGCGGCUCUUCGGGCAGCGGAGAUGCUCCCUCGCCACCUUCCCCAUUGCAUUUCCCACUCGCGGGCUGCAAAACCUUGCGAGCGAUGUCAAAUCAAGGAUUUUGUUAAAGCGCCUCGGCUGCGCAGCCCGUUCCUCCCCCCGCUUCCCUGCACCUCUCUCCGCCGCCGUCCAACAGCAUUCCCAAAAGACUAAACACCUUUGGUUUCCAUGGCAGCCUGAUUUUCAAUGAGCAUCGUUCAAGUCCUAACCGGAAAGAAAGUGUUUCAUUAAUGCAUGCAGGACACACUGGCAUCUCCCCGGGGCGACAGCAUCCUUCCCCCGAAAACUAGCACCUUCUGCCCGCGCUUGCUUUUUUUUUCUUUAUUUCAGCAAAUUGAGGCGAGCCAGCAGCCUUCACUGCUGCCUGGAGCGGCGGGAGGGGGGUCGCCGAGCCGCCCGCCGCUGGAGCUCGCUUUUCGGAAAAUCUGCGUUUCCGAAAGCAGAGCUGAACUGCGCGGGAAGGCACCCACCGUCCGAGCAGCUCUGGAGAGACUGAGACGCCCUUCGCUGCCCCGUCCCUGCGCGGAGGGACUAGGACCAGGACCAGGACCAGGACGAGGACCAGGACCAGGACCAGGACGGGGUUAUCGGCUCGGCCGGCAGAAAGUGCCGGGAGCUGGGAACCGCGUGCACGGCCCCGGGGACAGCCAGGGCAGGGAAGCGCGUUGCUUGCAUCGAAGGAGUAAUGCAGGUGCCCAAAUAAACUAGCAACCGAG